GCACAUAUGCGUCAGAUGUUUAGCUAUGGAUGGAGACCUUCCCGCCUUAUAUUGAGCCCAUAUUUUGACACAAGAUAGAGCUUUCAGUUAGCUUUCCAAUCCCGCCGGUUUGAGUAGCAAAAAUUAUGUCCGUUUUACUGAAGAGUGGUCAGUCUGCCUCGCGAUAGGAAGCUGUCGAGGAGAUGCAUGACUGUCGAUCGAUGAAACAGCAUUGCCAUCGAUCGACAGUGAUGCCAGAACGUGGGCCAAGCAUAUUUCAAGACCGAUUGAAU
rnacentral:lncRNA from 1 species